rnacentral:lncRNA from 1 species
AUAAAGAGGACAACUACUCUAGAUCUUUUCACUUCAGACUUUCGUUUAUAUGCAAGAUAUGUUGGUGACAUAUGCAUGGUAUGGGGCUCGGAGGGCCGUACUGAUGAUGUUGGCCGCAGGCUGGGUGAUGAAUCUCUGGGCCUGUCUACUAGAGUGGAGCGGGGUUCUUCUGAAGGGUUCCAUUUUCUGGAUGUGAAUGUGGAUGUGCGGAUGGGCGAGUGUAUCACAACCGUCUAUAGGGGACCCACCUAUAUGCCUGUGCUUGUUCCGGCAUGGUCUGGGGAUCCUGUGCCGUGUGGGCUGGCUGCCUUUACGAGUUUGGUCUCUGGAGUCUUCACCCGUGCCGCCGGGUGGACGGAUAGAGA